rnacentral:rRNA from 1 species
GACGAACGCUGGCGGCGUGCCUCAUACAUGCAAGUCGAACGCAGUGGGGACGGGUGAGUAACACGUGGGUAACCUCCCAUCAGAGGGGAUAACACUUGGAAACAGGUGCUAAACCGAUCCUGAUGGAUGGACCCGCUGUGCAGUAGCUAGUUGGUGAGGUAACGGCUCACCAAGGCAACGAUGGAUAGCCGACCGGAGAGGGUGAGCGGCAACACUGGGACUGAGACACGGACCAGACUCCGAAGGGAGGCAGCAGGAGGGAAACUGCGGCAAUGGACGAAAGUAUGACCGAGCAACGCAGCGUGAGUGAAGAAGGGUUGCGGAUCGUAAAACUCUGUUGUGAGAGAAGCGGUAUCUAACCAGAAAGCCACGGCUAACUACGUGCCAGCAGCCGCGGUAAUAC